rnacentral:lncRNA from 1 species
GACGGCGCGGCCCCGUCACCCGCUGGGCCGACAGCGCGCUCAACCAAUAGCAACGCCGGUCUUCCCACCGAGGCGGGUUCUGAGCGUGACAUCAUCCCCCCCCGCCUGUCCUCUCGUGCUUGUGAAGUCCGACCGCCUGGGUGGAUAGAGAGGCCUUUUUAAAGAAGAAAGAGCGACCCCUAGGUACGUGUUUCCGGUACGGGCGCCGUGCUGCUCCAGGCAGCCUGCAUCUCUAUGGCUCGCUAUAUUUGGGGAUUGGAAGGGGAGCGCGGAAGAACCGAGGGAUGCCUCAGCCCGUGAUUGAUCGGUCUAUAUCUUCCUCUCUUUGGUAGACUGGCGUAGCUUGACGUCACCGUCCUUUUCCCACGGGCAUCCACAAUGGCCUAAUUGGCCCGCCCACUUUGGUCGCCGUGGCCAAUGGGAGCGGUUGUAGCGAAGGGAAGCCGAGAUGGAACAGUGUAAUAAGAAAUCGAGGGUUCGAUUCCUGCCUGCUCCAACAUUCUGCAUUGCCUGCAGUUUCUGGAUGGUGUUCAAGCAGAGCUCCACUUCAAGC